CUACGGGAGGCAGCAGUAAGGAAUAUUGGUCAAUGGACGCAAGUCUGAACCAGCCAUGCCGCGUGGAGGAUGACGGCCCUCUGGGUUGUAAACUCCUUUUAUCUGGGAAGAAAUGCAGACUUUCUAGUNUGUUUGACGGUACCAGAGGAAUAAGCACCGGCUAACUCCGUGCCAGCAGCCGCGGUAAUACGGAGGGUGCAAGCGUUAUCCGGAUUCACUGGGUUUAAAGGGUGCGUAGGUGGAGUGGUAAGUCAGUGGUGAAAUCUCCAAGCUUAACUUGGAAACUGCCGUUGAUACUAUCAUUCUUGAAUAUCGUGGAGGUAAGCGGAAUAUGUCAUGUAGCGGUGAAAUGCUUAGAUAUGACAUAGAACACCGAUUGCGAAGGCAGCUUACUACACGAUCAUUGACACUGAGGCACGAAAGCGUGGGGAUCAAACAGGAUUAGAUACCCUGGUAGUCCACGCCCUAAACGAUGAUUACUCGACAUCAGCGAUACACUGUUGGUGUCUGAGCGAAAGCAUUAAG
rnacentral:rRNA from 1 species